UUGUAUACUGUGUCAUUGAUUUCGAUCCUCAUAUAUCUACGUCUACAAGUUGGCUGUUUUGUUUUCUGUUUAGGUUAUAUAGAAUUAAAAGGUAAUUCCGUCAAUAAUUCUUUAUUCUUAUUAAAAAUCACCGUUUCAGUUCCUCUGUGCUUCUCAACAUAAAAAAUAUAGGAUGAUAUCUGACGUCCAACUCGCUGUGUUCGCCAACUUUCUUGGAGUGUCUCUGUUCCUCCUAGUUGUGCUCUACCAUUACAUAGCUGCUAAUUAUUCAAAGUCAUAAUGCCAAUCAAUCCUUCAUUCCAUAAUUAAAAUGGCUGUCAUCAUUAAAGACGGGCGCUGCCUGUUCAAACAUAAUUCUUUUCUCCAUUUUUCUACUCAAUUUGUGUCUAAUCAUGUUAAAUUAAAAUUAUGAAUACAUAUUGGGAAACUUAA